rnacentral:lncRNA from 1 species
AUAUACUUUAACAUAUAAAUAAAUAUAUAAUAUAUAAUAUAAUAUAUAAAAUAUAUAAAUAUACUUUUAUACUUUAUAUAUUAUAUAGAACAUAUAAAUAUACUUUAUAUGUUCUAUAUAAUAUAUAAUAUAAAAAUACUUUACUAUAUAAAAUAUACUAUUUACUUUAUAAAUAUAAUGGCCCCUCCAGUUGCUGCUACCAGAAGGAAACUGCUGCUUGCACACGUCAAUCUUUGUGCAGCCUCACUUCCUCCAUUUCUCUGAGUCAAACCAGUCCCUCCAGCUAUAACUCCAUUCCUAUACUCUCUGCUGCAAACAGGGCUAUAGCUUAUGCAUAUUUUCCUUUAUGCAUAUUUUGGCAUUGACGGAUCAUACCUGUUUUUUAGAUUCACUGAAAAUUAAGUUCAAUUAUUUUUUUGUUCAGUUUUUAACCUCUCCUUGUUGCUUUUGGAUGAUUCCAGGAAGAGAGCAAAAAAUACUGACGUAAAUAGUCAUAUUCAUCCUGGAGGUUCAGACUGGCAUUAUGAGAUGACUGCUCUGGCAACCCUGCGGAGGAUAAAUGAAAGGGAGCCCAGUAGCCGUAGCUAAACCAAUUAGGAAAAUGCUGCAGUGGUUCAGGUGGUAGACAACAGUAGUCUAGACCAGCAUAGAAUCUGUAAAAUCAGAAUUGGAGUCAAAGGGGAAAUGAGUAAGAUAAUUUGGCUUAGGUAUCUGAUCUGCAUCAUACUCCAAUCAGCAUCUCAUAUUACCACUGUCGUGUACUUAAAACAAUGAUUCCUGGAAUUUUCCAUCAACUCCAGCUGUUAUUGUAUGCAAAUUGCUAUUUUCUCAUUGCCAAUAAGUACUCACCAUCAGUUAUAUUAGUACUAGGCUAAAAUAUAAAUGAAAUAGUAAAUGAAAUGCUUGCAAGCUAUGAUUCUCAGACUUUUCAACCAGUGACACAAAAAACAAAUUUUGAAACACGCAAAUAGGAAAAUCUGCUCUUGUUGUUACUACUGCUAUUAUUACCAUUACUAAUACUUAUGCACAUAUGUUUCAAAUGCCAGUGAAGCCACAUGAUUUAUAGUUAACAGUAGAUGGAAUGGAAAGAAAUAGGGUUGAGAGUAAAUGCCCACUCCUGUCUUCAAGCGCAGGAUUGUCUGCUCAAUAGAUCUCCCUUUCACUUUUGUGUGAGGCAAAGUGUGCAGCACACUUAUGGAGGCCCUGCCCCAUCUUCUGUUUCACAUUCAGAACAUAAAUGAAAUUAGGCACCUGUCUAAAUUUAUCACAUUUGUAAUUUUUCAGUUUCCUUUACAUUUAAGUACACUUACUGCAUUCUUCUAGGGUGAAUCUUGAUUCAUGAAAUACAUUAUUCCUUUUGUUUCAAAACAGAGAAAUUUUAUGUAUUAAACUACCAAAGGGAUGUUAAGAUAUAUUUAUUGUAUUAGUCCGUUCUCAUGCUGCUAAUAAGGAUAUACCAAAAACUAGUUAAUUUACAAAGGAAAGAGGUUUAAUUGAAUCGCAGUUCCACAUAGCUGGGGAGGCCUCAAAAUCAUGGCAGAAGGCAAAGGAGAAACAAAGGCAUAGCUUACAUGGCAGCAGGCAAGAGAGAGCUUUUACAGGGGAACUGCCAUUUAUAAAACCAUCAGAUCUCCUGAGACUAAUUAACUGCCACGAGAACAGUAUGGGGGAAACUGCCCCCAUGAUUCAGUUACCUCCCACUGGGUCCCUUCCAUGACAUGUGGGAAUUAUGGGGGGUACAAUUUAAGAUGAGAUUUGGGUGGGGAUAUAGCCAAACCAUAUCAUUUAUUCUUAAUUAUUUAUCUUUGAAAAACUUUGGGAGAAUUAACACAAGUUACCAAAAAAGAUUCAGGGACAGUCUCUGAAGCAAUGAUCUUUUGGUGGCUCAGAUUCUUCAAUUUUUUUCUUCCUUAACUUUGAGGGGUGCAAAUGUGGCAGCCAUGUUGCUAUUGAAGAGCUGAAAACUGACUGUCCAGGGCUAAAGUCAACAGGUGAUUCCAAUUCAACCCAGUGGAUGAUUUCUUCUAUGUUCUAAAAUUAGGACAGCCUAGCUUUCUCUUCCUCGCUCUCUUUCACAUUUUGUUUGUCUAAAACUAUUAUCCACGCAACAAUUUCCACCACAGCAGUGGAGGACCCUGGCAUGCAAGUGGAGAGGAGAAAGUCAGCAGAAGACAGGACUAAAAUAUGAAAGAGCCUGGAGAGCAUUUUAGUUCCUGGUUUUCAUCUUUACCUGCCUUUGGUAUCCUAUGGCAUAUCUGUUUUAGUAAUUUUCUGCUUAGCUUAAGCUAUUUCAAGUUGCUUUCUCUCAGUUGUAACUGAAACAGUCCUAACUAGCAUAAUCUCCAAGUCAUACCCACUGGCACAAGAAAGCGUGGACUGAUUGCCAGUAUUUUUUUCAUACCCUGACACUGGUAUAACUGUAGUUUCCCCAGAGCACCUGGGAUCAUACCUCUGGGGGGAAAUGGACAUAACACGGGACUCUGCCUUUUGCCUUCUUCUGAUUUAACUUUCUUAGUAGUCGCUGUGCCAGUCCAGGAUCUCCUAGGCCUACCAUAUUCUGCAGUUGGCUCAGGCUUGGCUCGUUUAUUAAAACCGUCUUGUUUUCUGUCCUCGCCUAGCCUAAGUUAUUUUUGCUACUUUGCCUAGAGGAAGGGAGAAAGGAACUAAUGGGCAGAAAAAUUAGGAAAAGUUAAAAAGUGUGGAGAAUGGAAGAUGUAAGAAAAGUAAAUGAUAAAGAGGGAAGGAAUGCCAAAGCAACCAGAAAGGGUGGGGUUAGAAAUAAAUAAGGAAAAUAGGAGGAAGUUGAUAAGAAAAGUGAAUAAAUAAGAUGAAAGAAUAUGCAAAAAACCACAUCUACUUGAAAUAUAUUAAACUGCAUUUUGAUUACACCUUCCUCUUCCAGCUUCCCUUUUUCUCCAAUAUUUCAGUGAAAAGAUGUUGUUCCUUACUCACCCUUUUAUCUUUGUAGGUGUUCACACCUUGUUUACCUUUUCUACUGCCUCUAAAUAUGGUCACCCCAGCCCUUCUCUCUAGCCCAUGGUCCUGACUGAAUAUUAGAGUCUCCUGGGAAAUACUGAAAAAUAUGACAUCUGGGCUCCCCAUAAGACCACUUAUAUCAAAAUCUUUAGGAGUAUGACCCAGCAUUAAUAUUUUUAAAAGCUACCCAGCUAAGUUUCAACACACUUCCUGCUUCCAGUGAUCAGAACCAUAUAGUAAAAGUUCUCUCAAUAUUACAUUUAUUUUGCCUCAAAUUUAUUUAGGUGUUGUCAUCUUUUUUUCUCUGUGAUCUUGGAGGAAAACUGUCCCAUCUUCUUUGGAAGAUAGUACCUCUAUGUCUACUCCUGAUUCCACAACCCAUGCCUCCAUCUGCAAACUUGCUAUAUUAUUACUAUUCUUUCUCAUUUUAUCUUCUCCCAUCCUUGGCUGAAAAACUGCUUUUCAUUAAGGAAAACUUCUCUUUACUUCCUCUGCAGGUAUCAGUUCUGUUUCUUCUUUAUCUUGACCAUUAAAUUUCUUCCUACAUUCUCACAUAUUGUUUUCAUAAUUCAUGUUUCAGUUGAGGCUUCAUGUCCAACUGCAGUGACACUGUUCACUCAAGACCACUGGUGACUCCCCAGGGUUCAGAUGCUGUGACUCAUUCCAGUCCUGGUUCACCCCAUUCUUUCUGCACUAUUUGACAGUGCCGCCCUUCUCGUCCUCCUGAGACUGUAUCCUAGCUCUCUCAUCUUAGGUGAAAAUGUUCCCCUUGCCUCCCUAUACCAGUCUCCCAAAGUUCACUCAUAUUUCAAAUCUCAUUUCAGACUUCUCAUGCAUGAAACUCUUAUGUUUUAGAAUUAACCUAUACUCAUAUUAACAGUAAUCCCUCCCUUUAUAAUUAAUCAUUUUAGGUAUUCUAAAUAUUGCCUUAGAAACACUUACAUCUCAUUUGGUAACAAAACUUUGAGGAAAAAAAUGCCAUAAAGCCAAGAGGUCUGGGAGAAGCAUUUGGAUGUGAAGAGUAAGGAAGGAGUAGGGGUCAAUGGUGUUUCCUAGGUGUCUAGCUUCAACAGAUGACCUUUGACAAGAAGCAUGUUAGGGGAGCUAGAGAUAAAAAUCAUUACAUUUUAUAGCAUGCUGUAUGAGAUAUAGCUGUGUACCAUUGGCAUGGACUCAUAAGAGUGACAAAAACAUAAAAGUUUUUGUUGUAGUUGGGGCCACGCAAGUAGGUCUAUUUCUCUAUUUAAAGCAUUCAAAGUAAGAAAAGGUCAAGGAGAAAAGUCUGCAAACCAGUAUUUGAGAAUCAGACAAAAGAAGAGAUUCCAACUUCUAUUUAGAUAAAACUCAUAUAAUGGAUAAAAUCAAAUGCUUUGAAAUAUUUGAUACCAUGUUGAUAGAUUACAACUUUCAUUAUAUGUAUCUUGUAUACAAAGCAGGGCACAGCAUCAUAAAAUGAAAUUAAAUCAAUCUAGCAGGAGCUGCAUUCCUCAGGGAUUCACUCUAGUGUCCCUACGACCACCCCAUCCCCAAGAAUCUUUGCCUUGUGGCUCUGCCUGUGAAAUUUGAAGUUUUCUAUUUCAUCCAAUGGAAGCUAGAAUUUUUAAAUAUUUGGUUCUGUCUCUUAGGCCCUUAAGCUCAAGGAUAGCAAGUACUAGGAGCAUGAAGCACCUGUUGAAAAUAUUACAUGUUUGCUGGAGAAUUCUUGCAAGGUAACAACAACAACAAUAACAACUGCUAUAGGGAAACUUGCAGAAGAGAUCAUGCGUUUCUGUAAAUACCUGUAACACUUCUUGCUACAAUGUGUUAUAUAAAAUAAGUAGAAACUCUUAAAAAUACAUAAGUCAUUUUUCAUUAUUAUCUUACAUCAUGCCAGGAACCCCAUCUACUCCUCUGUGUUCCUUGAGUGCACUCAGUUUCGUUUUCAGCAGAAGUUGUGUCAUACACUCACUGUGCAAAGCUGACAGUCCCUAACAUCAUUUGUUUUGAUGAGGGUUAAAGAAAGGGUAUUGUUGUUUCAUAAAAACAAUGUUGAAUAAAUUUAUAAAUAACUUUGUAAUGAUGAAUUGUUUAUACACUGCUGUUGAAUUACAUGCGGGCAAAACAUCAAUAAAAUUUCUAAAAAUUCAUUUGGCAGAAUUGCUU